GCUGGUGUUGGGCUGCGAGCACUCCAGAGAUGCUCCAGAGUGAUUUUAAUGUUUUUUUCUUUUUCUUUUUUUAACAGCUUUACUGAGGUAUAAUUUAUACUUUUUAAAAUUCACCCAAUUUAAGGUAUAACUCAAUGAUUUUUAGCAAAGUCACCAAAUCAUGGCAACUACACCAUCAGCCAGUUCUAGGAUAUUUUUAUCAUUUUGUGAAGUCAAAACAGUAGGCUUAAUGCUUUCUCCCCCUCCCCCGACAAGUAUUCACCAGCGCCCCGGCAGCGGACAGCUGUGUGUGGGCAGUGCGGGCGAGUUCCGCACUCAGUGGGCACGCGCUCUCCUGGCAGGCCCUUGGUAACAGGACGGGAAUGCGCACAGUGCGUCAGACAGAAGCAGAGGCACAAGUAGGAGAGAAGUGCAGAAAGAGAGCGCAGGUUGCCAAGGGCAGGGCAUCUUGGGUUCCAGCCCGGCCCCGCGUGAUGUGAUUGUAUUCAAGGAUUAAUACGGGGCUGGGGCUCAGAGGUAGAGCCCUCGCCUAGCCUGCGUGGGCACUGGGUUCGAACCUCAGCACCACAUAAAUAUAAAAUAAAGAUUCUGUGUCCACCUAUAACUAAAAAAAAUAUUAAAGAAAUUGACUUCAGAUGAUAAUGGAGGCGAGAGAUCGGGAGCGUGGGGAUGGUAAGAAGGGAGGUGUGGAGAGAUGCAGAGAGGGUCUGCGACAAAGAGCGGGUGCUGAGGGCAAGCUGGGGCGAGGCCAGCGGCCUCCAUGGUGGCUGUGACCCUUUGUUGCCUGUACUUGGGCCCAAGUGCAACAGCGCAGCCUCUAAGGGGCUUCCAGAGCCUGUGCAGGAAGGUCCUGCUGGGCCUCCCCUGGGACCCUGCAGGGCUCCCCACCACUCAGUGGUUUGCACUGUACACAUGCACAGGUAAAAGAACAACGUCAG
rnacentral:lncRNA from 1 species